AGAGUUUGAUCCUGGCUCAGGAUGAACGCUGGCGGUCUGCUUAACACAUGCAAGUCGAACGCAACCUUUCGGGGUUGAGUGGCGGACGGGUGAGUAACGCGUGAGAAUCUGCCUUUAGGUCCGGGACAACCACUGGAAACGGUGGCUAAUACCGGAUGUGCCGCAACGUGAAAGGGGAAACCCGCCUGAAGAUGAGCUCGCGUCUGAUUAGCUAGUUGGUGAGGUAAAGGCUCACCAAGGCGACGAUCAGUAGCUGGUCUGAGAGGAUGACCAGCCACACUGGGACUGAGACACGGCCCAGACUCCUACGGGAGGCAGCAGUGGGGAAUUUUCCGCAAUGGGCGAAAGCCUGACGGAGCAAGACCGCGUGAGGGAAGAAGGCUCUUGGGUCGUAAACCUCUUUUGUCAGGGAAGAACACAAUGACGGUACCUGACGAAUCAGCCUCGGCUAACUCCGUGCCAGCAGCCGCGGUAAUACGGAGGAGGCAAGCGUUAUCCGGAAUUAUUGGGCGUAAAGCGUCCGUAGGUGGCUAGUCAAGUCUGCGGUCAAAGACUGGGGCUUAACCCUGGAAAGGCCGUGGAAACUGACGAGCUAGAGUGCAGUAGGGGUAGAGGGAAUUCCCGGUGUAGCGGUGAAAUGCGUAGAGCUCGGGAAGAACAUCGGUGGCGAAAGCGCUCUACUGGACUGCAACUGACACUCAGGGACGAAAGCUAGGGGAGCGAAUGGGAUUAGAUACCCCCGUAGUCC
rnacentral:rRNA from 1 species